CCCUGUCUUACAAAGACUGUAAACAGAGCAUCUGUCUCAGUUGGUUCCUGACUUUUCAUCACUUCCUCUGAAGCCAGCACCAUUGGCUGGGUGGGCCCCAGCACGAUCCAUCCAUGGGAAGUUGCAGAGAGAAGUCACCGCCUGACCUGAACAAAGUAUUCUAGGAGAUGACUUCUGCAUUUGAUUAACAUCAUGCAUUUCACGUAUUCGACAAACACUUGCUGAGCAUUUACUAUGCUGGAAACCAGAGAGACAGGUGGAAAGCCCGUCCUCUCUCAUGAGGAGCUCACAGUCUGGUUGGGAAGACAGCCACGUAUGCAGUCAGUGUACCCUGUAACCAAGACAGGCCUGCAUUACGCUGGAGGGUGCCUUGGUGGAACCCAGCAAGGGCCCCCAGAGACACCUCAGCUGAGUCCUGAGCAGUAGGAGACCGAAUGGGCCAGGAAAACAAAGUUUUUAGCUUCACAUAUGAUAAAUAUCAAAAGUUCCUUGGAGUCCUCGAUAAUUUCUAGGAGUAUAAAGAAGUCCAGAGACCAGAAGUUUGAAAACCACUGCUGUAGAGCAUGGAAUCUAGAAGAAGACAAGCCCAAGGAGCAGACGGUACAGCUGCAUCAUUUUCCAGGAAAACCAAAGCCAAGGAAAAGGCAGUACCCACAGGUAGAACAGGGAAAGGAACUGAGGAAUGCUUAAGAAGACCGUCAGCAUCCACGCAGUACCAUUUACUGAGUGUCUACUAACCAGGAAUCACCACCACCUGUGGGAAUGCAGCUGGGCUUGGCUGGGAGCGGACACUUAACGUCUCUGAUGCUGCAUGCAUCACGGAGACAGCUUCUGCCUGGAGCUCUAAGGGAAGGCUAUGACCCCAGAGCCUAGGUAAGCAACCACACAGAGCUUCGGUUUCUGUCCAGGCCCACAGCGCAGCCCGCAUCCCAGCUGAGGGUUCAGACCGUCUGCCACUGAGCCUAGGAUUCACAGGUCAAGCCUGUGUUCAGAUA